rnacentral:rRNA from 1 species
UACGAGGGGUCCAAGCGUUGUUCGGAAUCACUGGGCGUAAAGCGGGUGUAGGUGGCUUUGCAAGUCAUGUGUGAAAGCCCUGGGCUCAACCCAGGAAGUGCACGUGAUACUACAAAGCUUGAGUACUGGAGAGGAUGGUAGAAUUCCUGGUGUAGUGGUGAAAUACGUAGAUAUCAGGAGGAACACCGGUGGCGAAGGCG